UAGCUCAGUACACGUGGAUAACAUGCCCUGAAGUGGAGGAUAUCUCGGGAAUUGAGGAUAAUACUCCAUAGAUCAUAGGAUCUGGAAUGACUUAUGGUCGAAAGUUCCGGCGCUUCAGGAUUGGUCUGCGGCCUAUCAGGUCGUAGUGGGUGUAACGGACCCACUAGCCGACGACGGGUAUGGGCCUUGAGAGAGGGAGCCCAGAGAUGGAUUCUGAGACACGAAUCCAGGCCCUACGGGGCGCAGCAGUCGCGAAAACUUCACACUGGAGGCAACUCCGAUGAGGGAAUUCCUAGUGCUAGCACAUUAGUGCUAGCUUUUCUUAGCGUAGAUACUUAACGGAUAAGGGGCUGGGUAAGACGGGUGCCAGCCGCCGCGGUAAUACCCGCAGCCCAAGUGGUGGUCGAUUUUAUUGAGUCUAAACGUUCGUAGCCGGUUUGGUAAAUCCUUGGGUAAAUCGAGAGGCUUAACUUUUCGAUUCCGAGGAGACUGCGAACUUGGGACCGGG
rnacentral:rRNA from 1 species